UACGUAGGGUGCAAGCGUUAAUCGGAAUUACUGGGCGUAAAGCGUGCGCAGGCGGCUUUGCAAGACAGAUGUGAAAUCCCCGGGCUUAACCUGGGAACUGCAUUUGUGACUGCAAGGCUUGAGUGCGGCAGAGGAGACUGGAAUUCCUGGUGUAGCAGUGAAAUGCGUAGAUAUCAGGAGGAAUACCGAUGGCGAAGGCAGGUCUCUGGGGCUGACACUGACGCUCAUGCACGAAAGCGUGGGGAGCAAACAGG
rnacentral:rRNA from 1 species